rnacentral:rRNA from 1 species
AGGGUUGUAAAGUCUGUUAGCAAGGAAGAUAAUGACGUGACUUGCAGAAAAAGCCCCGGCUAACUCCGUGCCAGCAGCCGCGGUAAGACGGGGGGGGCUAGCGUUGUUCGGAAUUACUGGGCGUAAAGAGUGCGUAGGCGGUUUAGUAAGUUGGAAGUGAAAGCCCGGGGCUUAACCUCGGAAUUGCUUUCAAAACUACUAAUCUAGAGUGUAGUAGGGGAUGAUGGAAUUCCUAGUGUAGAGGUGCAAUUCUUAGAUAUUAGGAGGAACACCGGUGGCGAAGGCGGUCAUCUGGGCUACAACUGACGCUAAUGCACGAAAGCGUGGGGAGCAAACAGGAUU